rnacentral:rRNA from 1 species
CACGUAGGGUGCGAGCGUUGUCCGGAAUUAUUGGGCGUAAAGAGCUCGUAGGCGGUGUGUCGCGUCGGCCGUGAAAACCUGCAGCUUAACUGUGGGCUUGCGGUCGAUACGGGCAUCACUGGAGUUCGGCAGGGGAGACUGGAAUUCCUGGUGUAGCGGUGAAAUGCGCAGAUAUCAGGACGAACACCGGUGGCGAAGGCGGGUCUCUGGGCCGAUACUGACGCUGAGGAGCGAAAGCGUGGGGAGCGAACAGG